rnacentral:rRNA from 1 species
GUUUACGGCCAUAUCACAUUGAAAACACUGGUUCUCCUCCGAUCACCGAAGUUAAGAAAAGUCGAGCCUAGUUAGUACUUAGAUGGGUGACCGCUUGGGAAACCUAGGUGCUGUAAACG